UACGAAGGGGGCUAGCGUUGCUCGGAAUCACUGGGCGUAAAGCGCGCGCAGGCGGUCUUCCAAGUCAGUGGUGAAAGCCCGGAGCUCAACUCCGGAACUGCCAUUGAAACUGUAAGACUUGAGGAUGAGAGAGGUGAGUGGAAUUCCCAGUGUAGAGGUGAAAUUCGUAGAUAUUGGGAAGAACACCGGUGGCGAAGGCGGCUCACUGGCUCAUUACUGACGCUCAGGCGCGACAGCGUGGGGAUCAAACAGG
rnacentral:rRNA from 1 species